AUGGCCCCCCAAGCGGAGAAGAAGCUAGUGGCGAAGAAGCCCGCGGAGGAGGAGCCCACGACGGAGAAGGCCGAGAAGGCCCCAACGGCGAAGAAGCCCAAGGCCGAGAAGCGUCUGCCGGCGGGCAAGAAGGGCCGCAAGAAGGGCAAGAAGAGUGGUGAAGGGAGCGUGAAGGGAAGUGAGAAGGGCAAGAAGAGCGUGGAGACAUACAAGAUCUACAUCUUCAAGGUGCUCAAGCAGGUCCACCCCGACAUCGGCAUCUCCUCCAAGGCCAUGUCCAUCAUGAACUCCUUCAUCAACGACAUCUUCGAGAAGCUCGCCGGCGAGGCCGCCAAGCUCGCCCGCUACAACAAGAAGCCCACCAUCACUUCCCGGGAGAUCCAGACCUCCGUCCGCCUCGUCCUCCCCGGCGAGCUCGCCAAGCACGCCGUCUCCGAGGGCACCAAGGCCGUCACCAAAUUCACCUCCUCUUAG
rnacentral:rRNA from 1 species